rnacentral:tRNA from 1 species
GGAGGGGUGCCCGAGCAAGGUUUAAGGGGUCCGGCUCGAAACCGGAUAUCCCCUUAUAGGGGAGCGUGGGUUCAAAUCCCACCCCCUCCG